rnacentral:rRNA from 1 species
GACGAACGCUGGCGGCGUGCCUAAUACAUGCAAGUAGAAAGCUGAAGAGAGGAGCUUGCUCUUCUUGGAUGAGUUGCGAACGGGUGAGUAACGCGUAGGUAACCUGCCUUGUAGCGGGGGAUAACUAUUGGAAACGAUAGCUAAUACCGCAUAACAAUGGAUGACACAUGUCAUUUAUUUGAAAGGGGCAAUUGCUCCACUACAAGAUGGACCUGCGUUGUAUUAGCUAGUAGGUGAGGUAAUGGCUCACCUAGGCGACGAUACAUAGCCGACCUGAGAGGGUGAUCGGCCACACUGGGACUGAGACACGGCCCAGACUCCUACGGGAGGCAGCAGUAGGGAAUCUUCGGCAAUGGGGGCAACCCUGACCGAGCAACGCCGCGUGAGUGAAGAAGGGUUUCGGAUCGUAAAGCUCUGUUGUAAGUCAAGAACGGGUGUGAGAGUGGAAAGUUCACACUGUGACGGUAGCUUACCAGAAAGGGACGGCUAACUACGUG